rnacentral:rRNA from 1 species
GCACAAGCGGUGGAGCAUGUGGUUAAUUCGACGCAACGCGAAGAACCUUACCAGGGCUUGACAUCCCCUGACCGCGUAUGAAAGUACGUUUUCACCCUCGGGUGACAGGGAGACAGGUGCUGCAUGGCUGUCGUCAGCUCGUGUCGUGAGAUGUUGGGUUAAGUCCCGCAACGAGCGCAACCCUUAUCUUUAAUUGCCAGCAUUCAGUUGGGCACUUUAAAGAGACUGCCGGUGUUAAACCGGAGGAAGGUGGGGAUGACGUCAAGUCCUCAUGGCCUUUAUGCUUAGGGCUACACACGUGCUACAAUGGGUGGUACAAAGAGAAGCCAACUCGCGAGAGCGCGCCAAUCUCAAAAAGCCAUCCUCAGUUCGGAUUGGAGUCUGCAACUCGACUCCAUGAAGUUGGAAUCGCUAGUAAUCGCGGAUCAGCAUGCCGCGGUCGAAUACGUUCCCGGGCCUU